rnacentral:lncRNA from 1 species
CCUCCUUCUGUUGUUCCCAGCUCCCGUCCCCGAGAAUGACCUGGUGGGCAUUGUGGGGGGCCACAACACCCCCAGGGGAAGUGGUCGUGGCAGGUCAGCCUGAGGAUCUAUAGCUACCACUGGGCCUCCUGGGUGCCCAUCUGCGGGGGCUCCCUCAUCCACCCCCAGUGGGUGCUGACCGCCGCUCACUGCAUUGACCCGUCCACCUACCGGAUUCACACCAGGGAUGUGUAUCUGUACGGGGGCCGGGGGCUGCUGAAUGUCAGCCAGAUCGUCGUCCACCCACAGGGUGACUCAGGCAGCCCCCUGGUCUGCAAGAAGAAGGGUACC